CAGGUGGUCAGGUAGAGAAUACCAAGGCGCUUGAGAGAACUCGGGUGAAGGAACUAGGCAAAAUGGUGCCGUAACUUCGGGAGAAGGCACGCUGGUGUGUAGGUGAAGUCCCUGCGGAUGGAGCUGAGACCAGUCGAAGAUACCAGCUGGCUGCAACUGUUUAUUAAAAACACAGCACUGUGCAAACACGAAAGUGGACGUAUACGGUGUGACGCCUGCCCGGUGCCGGAAGGUUAAUUGAUGGGGUUAUCCGUAAGGAGAAGCUCUUGAUCGAAGCCCCGGUAAACGGCGGCCGUAACUAUAACGGUCCUAAGGUAGCGAAAUUCCUUGUCGGGUAAGUUCCGACCUGCACGAAUGGCGUAAUGAUGGCCAGGCUGUCUCCACCCGAGACUCAGUGAAAUUGAACUCGCUGUGAAGAUGCAGUGUACCCGCGGCAAGACGGAAAGACCCCGUGAACCUUUACUAUAGCUUGACACUGAACAUUGAGCCUUGAUGUGUAGGAUAGGUGGGAGGCUUUGAAGCGUGGACGCCAGUCUGCGUGGAGCCAACCUUGAAAUACCACCCUUUAAUGUUUGAUGUUCUAACGUUGGCCCCUGACCGGGGUUGCGGACAGUGUCUGGUAGGUAGUUUGACUGGGGCGGUCUCCUCCCAAAGCGUAACGGAGGAGCACGAAGGUUAGCUAAUCCUGGUCGGACAUCAGGAGGUUAGUGCAAUGGCAUAAGCUAGCUUGACUGCGAGCGUGACGGCGCGAGCAGGUGCGAAAGCAGGUCAUAGUGAUCCGGUGGUUCUGAAUGGAAGGGCCAUCGCUCAACGGAUAAAAGGUACUCCGGGGAUAACAGGCUGAUACCGCCCAAGAGUUCAUAUCGACGGCGGUGUUUGGCACCUCGAUGUCGGCUCAUCACAUCCUGGGGCUGAAGUAGGUCCCAAGGGUAUGGCUGUUCGCCAUUUAAAGUGGUACGCGAGCUGGGUUUAGAACGUCGUGAGACAGUUCGGUCCCUAUCUGCCGUGGGCGCUGGAGAAUUGAGGGGGGCUGCUCCUAGUACGAGAGGACCGGAGUGGACGCAUCACUGGUGUUCGGGUUGUCAUGCCAAUGGCACUGCCCGGUAGCUAAAUGCGGAAGAGAUAAGUGCUGAAAGCAUCUAAGCACGAAACUUGCCCCGAGAUGAGUUCUCCCUGAGACUUUAAGUCUCCUGAAGGAACGUUAAAGACGAUGACGUUGAUAGGCCGGGUGUGUAAGCGCAGCGAUGCGUUGAGCUAACCGGUACUAAUGAACCGUGAGGCUUAACCUU
rnacentral:rRNA from 1 species